CAUAACUCAAGACUGAAACUUGUUAACUUCAGGAAUUUGGAUUCCCAUGCCUUGUAGGUACAAAAAUUAGGUAACUGAUGUCUGGGAAUCCAUUCAAGAGUAUNNAAUCCAUUCAAGAGUAUAUUUUCUUCUUAUCCAUUUUGAAGGUUUUCAGAUAUUAAGGCCUUGUUAGGUAUUCUCAUCUCCAAGUAUCAUUCUGAUGCCUCCCCCG
rnacentral:misc_RNA from 1 species